AUCAAUUGUUUGUGCGCGACGUUUAAUCAAAGUGUAAUAAUAACAAAAUAAAGCAAAUAUAACCUCAACACGCUUGAGCUAUGCAUGCGCGUUUUAACCACAUGACGUAGCCAGCAAGCAAUUUAGCUGAAAGCAUGCGCAUAAUUCAGCGAAAAAAGCUAUAGGAC